UACCAGCUCUCCGAGUUGUAGGGAUGAUUAUUGGGCUUAAAGCGUCCGUAGCUGGCUUAGCAAGUCUCCUGUUAAAUUCAGCGACCUAAUCGUUGAGCCGCGGGAGAUACUACUAGGCUAGGAGGCGGGAGAGGUCGACGGUACUUUCGGGGUAGGGGUGAAAUCCUAUAAUCCCGGGAGGACCACCAGUGGCGAAGGCUGUCGACUAGAACGCGCUCGACGGUGAGGGACGAAAGCUGGGGGAGCGAACCGGAUUAGAGUACCCGGGUAGUCCCAGCUGUAAACUAUGCGGGCUAGGUGUUGGGGUGGCGUACGGGCCACUUCAGUGCCGCAGGAAAGCCAUUAAGCCCGCCGCCUGGGGAGUACGGCCGCAAGGCUAGAAACUUAAGGAAUUGGCGGGGAGCACCACAAGGCGUGAAGCUGCGGUUC
rnacentral:rRNA from 1 species